CCUCUAACCUUCAGUAAUGAACCUGGACCCUCAGACACAAAACAGAGAGCAGAGUCUCCAGUCCCCAGCUGUCUGUCUCUGAAGAGUGACCAGUCUAUGAGGAACCCUCCAACCUUCAGUAAUGAACCUGGACCCUCAGACACAAAACAGAGAGCAGAGUCUCCAGUCCCCAGCUGUCUGUCUCUGAAGAGUGACCGGUCUAUGGGGGAACCUAUAUACUUCAGAAAUGGACCUGGACCCUCAGACACAAAAGGGAGGAGGAAGAGUGGUGUUCCUGUGGAGGAGCAGCUGUCCAGC